rnacentral:rRNA from 1 species
AACUUUCAACAACGGAUCUCUUGGUUCUGGCAUCGAUGAAGAACGCAGCGAAAUGCGAUAAGUAAUGUGAAUUGCAGAAUUCAGUGAAUCAUCGAAUCUUUGAACGCACAUUGCGCCCAUUAGCAUUCUAGUGGGCAUGCCUGUUCGAGCACUUA